CCUACGGGUGGCAGCAGUGAGGAAUAUUGGUCAAUGGACGAGAGUCUGAACCAGCCAAGUAGCGUGAAGGAUGACUGCCCUAUGGGUUGUAAACUUCUUUUAUAAAGGAAUAAAACGAGGCACGUGUGCCUUUUUGCAUGUACUUUAUGAAUAAGGAUCGGCUAACUCCGUGCCAGCAGCCGCGGUAAUACGGAGGAACCGAGCGUUAUCCGGAUUUAUUGGGUUUAAAGGGAGCGUAGAUGGGUUGUUAAGUCAGUUGUGAAAGUUUGCGGCUCAACCGUAAAAUUGCAAGUGAUACUGGCAGUCGUGAGUACAGUUGAGGUAAGCGGAAUUCGUGGUGUAGCGGUGAAAUGCUUAGAUAUCACGAAGAACCCCGAUUGCGAAGGCAGCUUACUAAACUGUGACUGACAUUGAUGCUCGAAAGUGUGGGUAUCAAACAGGAUUAGAUACCCGUGUAGUC
rnacentral:rRNA from 1 species